CAGACCUCCUUGGGAAUAUAUUGAUCUGUGCUUCAGCUUCAAGAAUGGAGAGAUUCUGACUGGAUUUACUCAUUGCUGACUUGUGCAAGUCCUCCUGAAUGUACAUGGCACUGCUGUCUGAGACUGCAGGAGCCACUAUUUAGAGAUGUACAGAAGCUUCCACAAAGCACACAACCCUGUACCCUUUGUAAUAAAGAAAAAGAAACAGGAAAGCAAGGCGAUGCAGGACGGCCUUGUGACAGACACAUUUGGGGAGGGAGGAAGAGAAGUCUCGAGCCUUCUGGAGACAUAAGCAUAUGAAGACUGUGCAAGGAAAAAAUCACUGGAC